AUCUUUUUAGUAUAAUUUAUGUAUACUUGACUUCCAAUCAAGAGGUCCAAUUAAUGGAAAAGAUA
rnacentral:tRNA from 1 species